rnacentral:miRNA from 15 species
ACUGCAGUGGAAGCACUUCUAGC